rnacentral:misc_RNA from 1 species
GGCAAUAAAUAAACAUGAAAUGGAAUCGAUCUAAUCAAUCGUAGUUGAAUUAUCAUUCUUAACUUCUAGAAUUGUUUGUAAAAAUUGUAAGAAACAACUUGUUCAGCGAUAUGUCUGAUUUAGCUAAAGAUUUAUUAAUACAAUAUUAUGGGUUUGGUGCAGCAUCGAGUGGUAAAAAGUUUCUCUCGAUACAUCGCAAUAUCGAAAGGGUAAAAGACGAAGACGAAAAACAGGUUACUGAGCAACAUUCUUUAACCACCAAUGAUGAGAAUGUGGCCAAUGAAGAGUUUCAGAAAGACAUUGAGGAGGAUCGAAAACUUAGUAUUGGAGACAAUUUGUAUCCACAAUCCUCGCAAGUUUUAGAUAACUUGGAAGAUACAUAUGACAAUAAUGAAAAUUUCGACAUAAAAGAUAUCGACUUUGGUCCGAAUAUUCUUUGUAACACUCUCGAGAAUGUAUCAUCUAAACAACCAUAUGAACAAUUAUCUGAUAUAUCAGAUAUACAUUUACCUGAGCAAUCAACAAAUGAUGUUUCUUCAAAUUAUAUUAAAAUAAAUAUUGAAAAUCCAGAAAUAGAAAUAAAAGAUGACAUGAAAGAUGCAAAGAAAGAUGAAUUGGAACUUAUCGAAGACACAUUUUCUGACGAAGUUUCAGAAUAUUCUUCCUUGUCAUGUAAAGAAUCAAAAACAUUUUUGAAGAGUAAUAUAAGUUUAACGUCAAAUGAAUCUAUUUCAUCGCCAUUAGUACCAAAAAAGGAACCUAUUUACAAUGACAUGUUUGCAGAUUUUUCAAAUACAGAUUUAAAACAAUUUCCUAUUGCGAUAUUAAACAACUUUUCACAAUUAAGGAUGUUAUAUUUGUCAAACAACAAUUUGAUCGAAGUUCCUAAUGAAAUUUUCACUUGUUUAAACUAUCUACAGUGGUUAGACAUCAGAAUAAUCAAAUUACUUUUUUGCCAGUUAGCAUUAAAUGGCAUAGCUGCUUAGAAACGAUUUUACUUCAAGGAAAUAAAAUGAAGGAAUUACCAUUGGAACUUUGCACCCUAUCAAAUCUAAAAAAUCUUCAAAUAGCGGAUAAUCCACUUAUCAUGCCACCGCAAGAUAUCGUAGCUUCCGGUUGUGCUACCAUUUUGGAAUUCUUACGAAUUGAAUGGAAUAAAUUAUAUCCUGAUGAAUGGAUAGAACCCAGAAAAAAUAAAAUUGAACCAAAAUUAUCAACAAUUCUAUGUUAUCAAUCUCCA